ensembl:lncRNA
AGCUGUAUCAAUUUGCAAGUAACUUAAGUAAAUUUUUAUCCCAUUAUUCUUUUCUUCUCAGUUUAUUUAUACUGCUCCCUGCCUCUCCAUCUAUCUUUGCUCAGCAGUCUAUUUAGAUCCUCUAACUACUUUCCCUCAGUUUAUUUCCUUGCCUCACUCAAAAAUGUAAACCCAGCUCUCCCAGGAUGACCGGGUCUCUCACAUACUCACUCACUCACUCCUGUAGGAAGAGUGGAUACAAAAAAGGCCUCAGAAUAGGUACUGAGCUCACUCAGUUAAGAGUCACCAUGGCAAUUGAAGAGGAUGCCAGACCUGUAAAAGCACUGAUGACGGUGAUGAUGACAAUGUUUGGAUCACAGCCAAAGUUUGCUAUUCUGGGAUGUGAGGUGUAAAGACAAGCCCAACUGACCUUUCUGCCUGCUUCCCUUGCCAACCUCGACAAGCGGUUGGCCUCAGUCUGAGCUACAUUUUCUCUCACCAGCCCAUGUGGACAGCUGACCAUUACACCCACACAACCCAUCCCAACAGCCCCUUUCAUUCCUGUGCAAACAUGUCUAUCAGUCACCAUCGCAACUGCCAGUCGAUGUCCCUCAGGAAUCUCUCCACCUGUUCCCAUCAAAGAGAGAAAGAGCGAUGGAUGGAGGGGUGAGAUAUAGAAGGAGUGACAAAGUGUGUGCGGUAUGGAAAAAGACAGAAAUACUCCAACUCCCACUGACCGCACCCUGAACGUGACCCUCUGUUCAAUGCAAAAAUUAAUGUAAAGAGUCACUCCUCCAUAUCCAGACAUCCCUCACAUAUAUUUCCAUAUGAGAAUCAGCUGUGCUUGAAUGUGCUAUUUACAAAGGGUUACAGAGGGAACAUUUUAUAUGAACAUACAUGUAUGUUAUGGAAUGUGUGUGGUGUAAAUGUCAAUUACAAUAUGUACCAUUAUGUUUUUAGGACAUAACAACAUGGUAAUACCAGUUUGGACAGAACCAUGAUGGUAAAACUAUAGUAUUUGUUGAAUAACUACAACAAUAAAUAAAAAAUACUACAAAAUACCUCA